UUUAUUCUGUUUUUGCGUUUGUCCUGAUAAAGUGAAAAUGCGGCUCACUUGGGCGGAACUCAAGUUUAUCUUUUGGCAUGUAGUUCGGCAGACAUGAUACAUAACAGUCUAUGACCAUAACGCGCAGUAAUUAUGCCGUGCUCUGCCUUCACAGCUCAUGUACUUUGCUGUCUUUUUCUUUGGGAUAGUUUGAAGAUCAGAAAUGUUUUAAGGAUGUGUGGCAGAGAGUAUGCGUACAUUACCUCAUGUAGAGCAGUUUGAUGUGGUGAGACCUAAAAGACAGAGCAUCAGAAAGGUACAGUCUGAUAAAAGUCCACAAAGCCAUGAGACGUAUCCUGAUAGACUCACAUAUAAAUUAUUCUUUGGAGGGAAAGAUCACCUCAUUCAUUUGGAAAAGAACAGGUGAGUGUUGCAUUUGGGUGUAUUAUAUUUCAAAGUCUUUUCUGUACA
rnacentral:lncRNA from 1 species